UACGUAGGGGGCAAGCGUUAUCCGGAAUUACUGGGUGUAAAGGGUGCGUAGGCGGUUUACUAAGUCAGAUGUGAAAGCCCGAGGCUCAACCUCGGGACUGCAUUUGAAACUGGUAAACUAGAAUACAGGAGAGGUAAGUGGAAUUCCUAGUGUAGCGGUGAAAUGCGUAGAUAUUAGGAGGAACACCAGUGGCGAAGGCGACUUACUGGACUGUUAUUGACGCUGAGGCACGAAAGCGUGGGGAGCGAACAGG
rnacentral:rRNA from 1 species